GACGUAGGGCGCGAGCGUUGUCCGGAUUUAUUGGGCGUAAAGAGCUCGUAGGCGGCUUGUCGCGUCGUCCGUGAAAACUUGGGGCUCAACCCCAAGCUUGCGGUCGAUACGGGCAGGCUCGAGUUCGGUAGGGGAGACUGGAAUUCCUGGUGUAGCGGUGAAAUGCGCAGAUAUCAGGAGGAACACCGGUGGCGAAGGCGGCUUUCUGGGCCAACACUGACGCUCAUGCACGAAAGCGUGGGGAGCAAACAGG
rnacentral:rRNA from 1 species